UGGACCGCUGCUAAGAAGGCUCUGGGAGCCACAGAUUAUGGUCAAUGCAAUUCUGUGCACCUGAGGUCCAUA
rnacentral:snoRNA from 1 species